rnacentral:rRNA from 1 species
CCUACGGGAGACUGCAGUAGGGAAUAUUCGGCAAUGGACGCAAGCCUGAACGAGCCACGUAGCGUGAGGGAUGACUGCCCUACGAGUUGUAAACUUCUUUUAUAAAGAAAUAAAGUGAGGCUCGUAUGCCUAUGUGUACUUACUUUAUGAAUAAGGAUCGGCUAACUACGUGCCAGCAGCCUCGCUAAUACGGAGGAUCCGAGCGUUGUCCGGAUUUAUUGUGUUUAAAGGGAGCGGAGAUGGGUUGUUAAGUCAGUUGUGAAAGCUUGCGGCUCAACCGUAGAAUUGCAAUGGAUACUGGCAGUCUUGAGUACAGUUGAGGAAGGUGGAAUUCGAGGUGUAGCGGUGAAAUGCUUAGAUAUCACGAAGAACUCCGAUUGCGAAGGCAGCUCACUAAACUGCAACUGACAUUGAGGCUCGAAAGUGUGGGUAGCAAACAGGAUUAGAUACCCUUGUAGUC